rfam:Cicer arietinum chromosome Ca3, whole genome shotgun sequence.
AUACUUACCUGGAUGGGGUCAAUGGGUGAUCAUAAAGGCCCAUGGCCUAAGAUAGCAAACUCCAUUGCACUUAGGAGGGGUGCUAUCUUAAGGUCUACUCAUGUAGUGGAGCCUACAUCAUAAUUUGUUGUAGUGGGGGCUGCGUUCGCGCAGCCCCUU